GACGAACCGUGCGAACGUUGUUCGGAAUCCCUGGGCUUAAAGGGCGCGUAGGCGGGCGGGCAAGUCUGCGGUGAAAGCCUCCAGCUCAACUGGAGAAGUGCCGUGGAUACUGCUCAUCUUGAGGAGGGUAGGGGCGUCUGGAACGUUGGGUGGAGCGGUGAAAUGCGUUGAUAUCCAACGGAACUCCGGUGGCGAAGGCGAGGCGCUGGACCCUUUCUGACGCUGAUGCGCGAAAGCCAGGGGAGCGAACGGG
rnacentral:rRNA from 1 species